AUUGAACGCUGGCGGCAUGCCUUACACAUGCAAGUCGAACGGCAGCGGGGACUUCGGUCCGCCGGCGAGUGGCGAACGGGUGAGUAAUGUAUCGGAACGUACCUUUCAGUGGGGGAUAACGUAGCGAAAGUUACGCUAAUACCGCAUAUUCUCUGAGGAGGAAAGCAGGGGACCUUCGGUCAUUGUGCUGAUGGAGCGGCCGAUAGAAGGUUAGCUAGUUGGUGGGGUAAAGGCUCACCAAGGCGACGAUCUGUCGCGGGUCUGAGAGGAUGAUCCGCCACACUGGGACUGAGACACGGCCCAGACUCCUACGGGAGGCAGCAGUGGGGAAUUUUGGACAAUGGGCGCAAGCCUGAUCCAGCCAUGCCGCGUGAGUGAAGAAGGCCUUCGGGUUGUAAAGCUCUUUCGGACGGGAAGAAAUUGGUGGGGCUAAUAUCCCCAUCGGAUGACGGUACCGUAAUAAGAAGCACCGGCUAACUACGUGCCAGCAGCCGCCGUAAAAC
rnacentral:rRNA from 1 species